rnacentral:ncRNA from 2 species
GUGUUCAAAAUCAAAUCUUGAUGUAUAUGCCGGGGAAUAGGGCCCAGGCGUUUCUACCAGGUUACCGUAAAUGACUUGACUACAUGAAGGUUGAGAAUCCGC